CCUACGGGCGGCAGCAGUCGAGAAUCUUCGGCAAUGGGGGAAACCCUGACCGAGCGACGCCGCGUGCGGGAUGAAGGCCUUCGGGUUGUAAACCGCUGUCAGUUGGGAGGAAAUGCCAUGGGGUUAUCCCCUUGGCUUGACCGAUCUUCAGAGGAAGGACGGGCUAAGUUCGUGCCAGCAGCCGCGGUAAGACGAACCGUCCAAACGUUAUUCGGUAUCACUGGGCUUAAAGCGUGCGUAGGCGGCCUGGUAGGUGAGAUGUGAAAGCCCACGGCUCAACCGUGGAAUUGCGUUUCAAACCACCAGGCUUGAGGAUGGCAGGGGUGAUGGGAACUGAUGGUGGAGCGGUGAAAUGCGUUGAUAUCAUCAGGAACACCGGUGGCGAAGGCGCAUCACUGGGCCAUUUCUGACGCUGAGGCACGAAAGCUAGGGUAGCGAACGGGAUUAGAUACCCGUGUAGUC
rnacentral:rRNA from 1 species